rfam:Saccharomonospora viridis DSM 43017, complete genome.
CGCGUUCAGUCCGCCCCCCGGGACUGAAGUUCGGCGGCCCUCGCUCCUCCCCCUGGCGAGGGCCGCCUCUC